AUUGAACGCUGGCGGCAGGCCUAACACAUGCAAGUCGAACGGUAACAGGAAGCAGCUUGCUGCUUCGCUGACGAGUGGCGGACGGGUGAGUAAUGUCUGGGAAACUGCCUGAUGGAGGGGGAUAACUACUGGAAACGGUAGCUAAUACCGCAUAACGUCGCAAGACCAAAGAGGGGGACCUUCGGGCCUCUUGCCAUCGGAUGUGCCCAGAUGGGAUUAGCUAGUAGGUGGGGUAACGGCUCACCUAGGCGACGAUCCCUAGCUGGUCUGAGGGGAUGACCAGCCACACUGGAACUGGGACACGGUCCAGACUCCUACGGGAGGCAGCAGUGGGGAAUAUUGCACAAUGGGCGCAAGCCUGAUGCAGCCAUGCCGCGUGUAUGAAGAAGGCCUUCGGGUUGUAAAGUACUUUCAGCGGGGAGGAAGGCGAUAAGGUUAAUAACCUUGUCGAUUGACGUUACCCGCAGAAGAAGCACCGGCUAACUCCGUGCCAGCAGCCGCCGCGG
rnacentral:rRNA from 1 species